rnacentral:lncRNA from 1 species
AUGCUUUUCAGUGGCACUAUGCAGUCUUUGAGAGUAGGAUUUCUGUCUUGGUUUUGUAAAUCACUUAAAAAUGUUUGCCAUAGCAGAUGCCUUGUAAAUAAUUUGUUCAAAUUUACAAGAAAAAAAAAAAUUGCUUACAUUUAUAUCUUAACAGAAAGGCCUUCUUAUGCCCCACCUCCUACCCCAGCUCCUGCAACCCAGUUUGUGAAAGAGAAGCUGAAUAAACUUAUUUCACCUUUAAGGCUAGAUCCUGCAGAUACUUUUUUGCAAGCAGUCAGUUGGUCUAAAAUUAUUCACAGUGGGUUCCAACAGUAUACUGGAAUAUUUAAGAACAAACUGAUACAUUUAAUUCUAAAACUUCCCACUCAACUUGUGCCCAAAUCAUGGGGAAACAAUGCAUUUUUUUUCAUGUUUCUGUUGUACCUAGCUGAUUCUCAGUGGCAUGCAGGAGUAUGCAAAAUGCUGUUAUAUUGGGUCAGAAUAAUGAAACGCUCACGAUGCCAGUCUUAUUCAAAUUUCUUGAAAUCACUGGUAUUUUGGAGUCUAUGGCAUGAGAAAUACACUUUCUAGUAAAAUGGUAUGGAAUGACACUGAGGAAAACAGGAACAGUAGCUUUGAAUCAUGCUGAGUUACAUUCCUGCAUGUAUAAAAAGGUACUGAAAUACCGGUAUGCUGUGGUCAGGAAAGCAUUUGAAAGCAAAUGCACCUCUUUUGCAGCAUUCACAUUUCUAAAUAGCUUGCAUUUUAGGAGUAACAUAUUCACAUGAGAAAAUACAAAUCUUUUGUACAGAAGAAAGAGCAAAGAUGCUACAGUGAAAUUUUUUUGCCAAAGAAAAUUUGAAAACUGUUAUCCAAUAGAGUGUCCCUGAUCUCUGCAUCUGGGAUGAAAACUGCAGGAUGGCAUUUAUGCAGAUGAAAUGUGAUGUUUCAAAUUUAUUGUGCCAUACUUUCCAUUUAAAGAGGUUUGAAAAUUUUAAUGUAUAAAUAUAAGUUGUGUUCUUAUAAAUUUACAUAAAUAAAACUUUAUUUGCAUAGUUUGUUCAGAGUUUUCAUUUUGCACAGAACUUUAAUAGAUUUGUGCCAGUAUUAGAAGGAACAUGAUGGCAUCUGCUCUUACAACUGGAUUCCUGCAUCGAGACCUGUGCACACGUGUGUGUGAUUCCCUUGGGAUGUAGCAUGAAUACAGAUGUUAAGUGGUGUAUACCGAUGUGGUACAUUCUUUAGUCAAGUUAGAAGUCUUCAGAACGGUAACUGAAACAAACUUCAAAACCACAACUAGUGACGUGCAUUACCUCUCUUUCAAGCAUCUUCUGUAUUACAUUUUAUACAGUCCUUGAGAUGAUAGUCUGUGCUCUGUUAAUGCAAGUCAUAAAAGUAGACAAAUAACCUUGCUUGUUCUUCCGCAGCCAGUUCCAGUUACUACAGUC